UAACGUCAAGAGAAUGGGUUUUGGUGCAUC
rnacentral:piRNA from 1 species